rnacentral:rRNA from 1 species
UACGUAGGGUGCAAGCGUUGUUCGGAAUCAUUGGGCGUAAAGCGCGUGUAGGUGGUUUAUUAAGUCGAUUGUGAAAUCCCUGGGCUCAACCGAGGAAGUGCAGUCGAAACUAAUUGACUUGAAGAUGGUAGAGGAAGGUGGAAUUCCAAGUGUAGAGGUGAAAUUCGUAGAUAUUUGGAGGAAUACCGGCGGCGAAGGCGGCCUUCUGGGCCAUUCUUGACACUGAGACGCGAAAGCGUGGGUAGCAAACAGG